rnacentral:rRNA from 1 species
GGAAUAUUGCACAAUGGGGGAAACCCUGAUGCAGCGACGCCGCGUGAAGGAUGAAGUAUUUCGGUAUGUAAACUUCUAUCAGCAAGGAAGAAAAUGACGGUACUUGACUAAGAAGCCCCGGCUAAAUACGUGCCAGCAGCCGCGGUAAUACGUAUGGGGCAAGCGUUAUCCGGAUUUACUGGGUGUAAAGCGUGUGUAGGCGGUUAAAUAAGUCUAAGGUUUAAGCCCGGAGCUCAACUCCGGAUCGCCUUAGAAACUGUAUAACUUGAGUAUGGUAGAGGUAAACGGAAUUUCUAGUGUAGCGGUAAAAUGCGUAGAUAUUAGAAGGAACACCAGUGGCGAAGGCGGUUUACUGGGCCACCACUGACGCUGAGACACGAAAGCGUGGGGAGCAAAUAG